rnacentral:rRNA from 1 species
CCUACGGGUGGCAGCAGUGAGGAAUAUUGGUCAAUGGACGAGAGUCUGAACCAGCCAAGUCGCGUGAAGGAUGACUGCCCUAUGGGUUGUAAACUUCUUUUAUAAAGGAAUAAAACGAGGCACGUGUGCCUUUUUGCAUGUACUUUAUGAAUAAGGAUCGGCUAACUCCGUGCCAGCAGCCGCGGUAAUACGGAGGAUCCGAGCGUUAUCCGGAUUUAUUGGGGUUAAAGGGGGCGUAGAUGGGUUGUUAAGUCAGUGGUGAAAGUUUGCGGCUCAACCGUAAAAUUGCAAUUGAUACUGGCAGUCUUGAGUACAGUUGAGGUAGGCGGAAUGCGUGGUGUAGCGGUGAAAUGCUUAGAGAUCACGAAGAACUCCGAUUGCGAAGGCAGCUCACUGGACUGCAACUGACACUGAGGCUCGAAAGUGUGGGUAUCAAACAGGAUUAGAUACCCGAGUAGUC